CGUCAGUGUUUGUGCUGCUGGCAGAAUACUCGUCUGGUUCGUCUGUAUCCACAACACGUUGGGAGUAUGACACAGACAGUGCAGACGAAUGGGGUGCAGCCCCUCAGUAAGACAUGGGAACUCAGUCUGUAUGAGCUACAGAGGACUCCACAGGAGGCCAUCACAGAUGGGCUGGAGAUAGCGGUGUCUCCCAGGAGCCUCCACAGUGAGCUGAUGUGUCCCAUCUGUCUGGACAUGCUGAAGAACACCAUGACAACCAAGGAAUGUCUGCACCGCUUCUGUGCCGACUGCAUCAUCACCGCCCUCCGAUCAGGCAACAAGGAAUGCCCUACGUGCAGGAAGAAGCUGGUGUCUAAGCGGUCCCUGCGGCCGGACCCUAACUUUGAUGCCCUCAUCAGUAAGAUCUACCCCAGCAGAGAUGAGUACGAGGCCCACCAGGAGAGGGUUCUGGCCCGCAUCUCCAAACACAACAACCAGCAGGCCCUGUCCCACAGCAUCGAGGAGGGCCUCAAGAUACAGGCCAUGAACAGGCUGCAGCGAGGGAAGAAGCACCAGCUGGAGAACGGGAGUGGGCUGGAGGACAACGGUGACUCCUCCCACUGCAGCAACGCCUCCGUCCACUCUAACCAGCAGGAGGCGGGGCCGAGCAUCAAGCGCACCAAGACGUCAGAUGACUCUGGUCUGGACAUGGACAACGCUACAGAGAACGGAGGGGGAGGGGACGUGGCCAUGGACGGAGCCAGCGAGAUAGAACUGGUGUUCUGUCCUCAUCCUACGCUCAUGGACAAGGAGGACACCGUGCAGACCAGUGUUGAGUUUGUUCCCAGGUACAUCAAGACGUCGGGUAACGCCACAGUGGACCACCUGUCUAAGUACCUGGCUGUGCGUCUGGCUCUGGAGGAACUGAGGAAGAACGGAGAGGCCAGCCCUGUCAAUGUAGACGCUGCCUCAGAGAAACAAUACACCAUUUAUAUCCCUACAGCCAACGGCCAGUUCACGGUGCUGAACGGGUCUUUCUCUCUGGAGCUUGUCAGUGAGAAGUACUGGAAGGUGAACAAACCCAUGGAGCUGUACUUCGCCCCCACCAAGGAGCACAAGUAGACCGCCUGGAGUACACCUGGGGGGGUAGACCGCCUGGAGUACACCUGGAGCACACCUGGGGGGGUAGACCACCUGGAGCACACCUGGGGGGGUAGACCAACUGGAGCACACCUGGGGGGGUAGACCAACUGGAGUACACCUGUGGGGGUAGACCAACUGGAGUACACCUGGGGGUAGAUCACCUGGAGUACACCUGGGGGUAGAUCACCUGGAGUACACCUGGGGGUAGAUCACCUGGAGUACACCUGGGGCACCCUAUUUCCUAUGUAGGGCUUUGGCCAAAAGUAGUGCACUAUAUAGGGAAUAGGGUGCCCUUUAGGACACAACCCUGGAUGAGACCUGCCAGGAGGACGAGGUGUCUAAUGGACUCUCAACAUCUAUACAUCUCUCUCUACAUCUCUCUCUCUCUCUCUCUCUCUCUCUCUCUACAUCUCCCUCUCUCUCUACAUCUCUCUUUCUCUACAUCUCUCUCUC